GGAAUUAAGUGUUUUGUUCUUGUCUCUGUUUAAGUUUCUUGUGUUAUCUUUGUUGUAUGUUUCAUCUUCUUGUUAUGUUUAUGUUUUAUGUUGGUGUUCUGUUCCGGUUACAUUUAAGUGGAAGCAUUGUUGUUCUUGUGUUAUGUUGGUGUUCUGUUAUGGUUACAUUUAUGUUGGUGUUCUGUUUCGGUUACAUUUAACAAACCUUAAUUUCAUUGUUGUUCUUGGGUAUGUGUUGUCUUUGGUUUCAGGCGGCUCAGUGUAGUUUGAUGAAUCACAGAGUGGAGCAUUGGGUUGUAUGCAUGACUUCCUCUUGCCUUGUCUUCUUGUGUCACGGAAAUGUUAAUGACUUCCUCGUGCCUUGUCUUCUUGUGUCACAGAAGUGGAAGUGGUCUACUGGUCUUCUAUUAUUGUGUUUGGUCCCGUCUUGUAACAUGUCUUGUUGGGUUUGUUGUUUUCUUGUAUCACGGAUGUGGUGUUGGGUUUAUUGUUUGCUUCUCAAAUCUUUAUAAUACUAUGA
rnacentral:lncRNA from 1 species